rnacentral:rRNA from 1 species
CCUACGGGGGGCUGCAGUGGGGAAUAUUGCGCAAUGGGCGAAAGCCUGACGCAGCGACGCCGCGUGAGGGAUGAAGGUCUUCGGGUCGUAAACCUCUGUCAGCAGGGAAGAACGAUCACUGUGCUCAUCAGCAGUGAAUUGACGGUACCUGCCAAGGAAGCACCGGCUUACUCCGUGCCAGCAGCCGCGGUAACACGGAGGGUGCGAGCGUUAAUCGGAAUUACGGGGGGUAAAGCGCUCGUUGGCGGGAUGGCAAGUCAAGGGUGACAUACCCGCGCUGAACGUGGGAACUGCCUUUGAAACUGGCAAAAUGGAGUGUGGGAGAGGAUAGUGGAAGUCCAGGUGUAGGAGUG